GCAAGGACGAAAGUCUGACGGAGCAACGCCGCGUGAGUGAAGAAGGUUUUCGGAUCGUAAAACUCUGUUGUCAGAGAAGAACAAGUUGGAGAGUAACUGCUCCAGCCUUGACGGUAUCUGACCAGAAAGCCACGGCUAACUACGUGCCAGCAGCCGCGGUAAUACGUAGGUGGCAAGCGUUGUCCGGAUUUAUUGGGCGUAAAGCGAGCGCAGGCGGUUCCUUAAGUCUGAUGUGAAAGCCCACGGCUCAACCGUGGAAGGUCAUUGGAAACUGGGGAACUUGAGUGCAGAAGAGGAGAGUGGAAUUCCAUGUGUAGCGGUGAAAUGCGUAGAUAUAUGGAGGAACACCAGUGGCGAAGGCGACUCUCUGGUCUGUAACUGACG
rnacentral:rRNA from 1 species